UCCUUCGGGGCAAGGUGAGGAGGAGCCAUCCUCCAAUUCCUGACCGGCGGUGAAAGCCCGCGAGCCUCACGGCAGAACCGGUGGAAUUCCGGUGCCGACAGUAUAGUCUGGAUGGGAGAAGGA
rnacentral:ncRNA from 1 species